rnacentral:rRNA from 1 species
UACGUAGGGGGCAAGCGUUGGCCGGAUUUAUUGGGCGUAAAGCGCGUGUAGGCGGCCAGGUAGGUCCGCUGUGAAAACCCGAGGCUCAACCUCGGGACGUCGGCGGAAACCAUCUGGCUAGAGUCCGGAAGAGGAGAGUGGAAUUCCCGGUGUAGCGGUGAAAUGCGCAGAUAUCAGGAAGAACACCCGUGGCGAAGGCGGUUCUCUGGGACGGUACUGACGCUGAGACGCGAAAGCGUGGGGAGCGAACAGG